AGCGAACGCUGGCGGCAGGCUUAACACAUGCAAGUCGAACGCAUCCUUCGGGGUGAGUGGCAGACGGGUGAGUAACACGUGGGAACGUACCCUUCGAUCUGGGAUAACUUCGGGAAACUGGAGCUAAUACCGGAUACGCCCUUUGGGGGAAAGGUUUACUGUCGAAGGAUCGGCCCGCGUCUGAUUAGCUAGUUGGUGGGGUAACGGCCUACCAAGGCGACGAUCAGUAGCUGGUCUGAGAGGAUGAUCAGCCACACUGGGACUGAGACACGGCCCAGACUCCUACGGGAGGCAGCAGUGGGGAAUAUUGGACAAUGGGCGCAAGCCUGAUCCAGCCAUGCCGCGUGAGUGAUGAAGGCCUUAGGGUUGUAAAGCUCUUUUGUCCGGGACGAUAAUGACGGUACCGGAAGAAUAAGCCCCGGCUAACUUCGUGCCAGCCGCCGCCGUAAAAC
rnacentral:rRNA from 1 species